rnacentral:rRNA from 1 species
AUUGAACGCUGGCGGCAGGCCUAACACAUGCAAGUCGAGCGGAUGACGGGAGCUUGCUCCUUGAUUCAGCGGCGGACGGGUGAGUAAUGCCUAGGAAUCUGCCUGGUAGUGGGGGACAACGUUUCGAAAGGAACGCUAAUACCGCAUACGUCCUACGGGAGAAAGCAGGGGACCUUCGGGCCUUGCGCUAUCAGAUGAGCCUAGGUCGGAUUAGCUAGUUGGUGGGGUAAUGGCUCACCAAGGCGACGAUCCGUAACUGGUCUGAGAGGAUGAUCAGUCACACUGGAACUGAGACACGGUCCAGACUCCUACGGGAGGCAGCAGUGGGGAAUAUUGGACAAUGGGCGAAAGCCUGAUCCAGCCAUGCCGCGUGUGUGAAGAAGGUCUUCGGAUUGUAAAGCACUUUAAGUUGGGAGGAAGGGCAGUAAGUUAAUACCUUGCUGUUUUGACGUUACCGACAGAAUAAGCACCGGCUAACUCUGUGCCAGCAGCCGCGGUAAUACAGAGGGUGCAAGCGUUAAUCGGAAUUACUGGGCGUAAAGCGCGCGUAGGUGGUUUGUUAAGUUGGAUGUGAAAGCCCCGGGCUCAACCUGGGAACUGCAUCCAAAACUGGCAAACUAGAGUACGGUAGAGGGUGGUGGAAUUUCCUGUGUAGCGGUGAAAUGCGUAGAUAUAGGAAGGAACACCAGUGGCGAAGGCGACCACCUGGACUGAUACUGACACUGAGGUGCGAAAGCGUGGGGAGCAAA